CCGCAGGCUGACGCUCUAUCCACUGAGCCAAACCAGUUUCGGCGUUAAACAGCUGAUUUCCAACAUUUCUUUUUCUUCCCAGACUCUUAACAUUCUUCUCCCAAUCACCUCAGUAGCCUGAAAUGUUGAUUUUAUCAUUUGUCUACUUUCGGGAGAGCUCUAAGGGAUCAAUGCAAUUG